rnacentral:rRNA from 1 species
UGGGGAAUUUUGCGCAAUGCUCGGGAGAGUGACGCAGCGACGCCGCGUGAAUGAUGAAGGCCUUCGGGUCGUAAAGUUCUUUCGACAGGGAAGAAAAUGCGUAUGAGUAACUGCAUACGUAGUGACGGUACCUGUAUAAGCAGCCCCGGCUAACUCCGUGCCAGCAGCCGCGGUAAUACGGAGGGGGCGAGCGUUGUUCGGAGUGACUGGGCGUAAAGAGCACGUAGGCGGUGUUGUAAGUCAUUAGUCAAAGGCUAGAGCUCAACUUUAGUAAGGCUAGUGAUACUAUAAUACUAGAGUAUCAGAGAGGAUUGCAGAAUUCCUGGUGUAGCGGUGAAAUGCGUAGAUAUCAGGAGGAAUACCGGUAGCGAAGGCGGCAAUCUGGCUGGAAACUGACGCUGAGGUGCGAAAGCGUGGGUAGCAAACAGG